rnacentral:rRNA from 1 species
GAUGAACGCUAGCGGCAGGCUUAACACAUGCAGGUCGAGGGGUAUAUCACUUCGGUGAUAGAGACCGGCGCACGGGUGCGUAACGCGUAUGCAACCUACCUUUUACAGGGGAAUAGCCCAGAGAAAUUUGGAUUAAUACCUCAUAGUAUUAUUGAAUGGCAUCAUUUAAUAAUUAAAGUUCCAACGGUAUAAGAUGAGCAUGCGUCCCAUUAGUUAGUUGGUAAGGUAACGGCUUACCAAGACAAUGAUGGGUAGGGGUCCUGAGAGGGAGAUCCCCCACACUGGUACUGAGACACGGACCAGACUCCUACGGGAGGCAGCAGUGAGGAAUAUUGGUCAAUGGGCGCAAGCCUGAACCAGCCAUGCCGCGUGCAGGAUGACGGUCCUAUGGAUUGUAAACUGCUUUUAUACGGGAAGAAACACUCCUACGUGUAGGAACUUGACGGUACCGUAAGAAUAAGGAUCGGCUAACUCCGUGCCAGCCGCCGCCGUAACAC